GAUGAACGCUAGCGGCAGGCUUAACACAUGCAAGUCGAGGGGCAGCAUUAUCUGUUUUCAGAUAGAUGGCGACCGGCGCACGGGUGCGUAACGCGUAUAGAACCUACCUUAUACAGGGGGAUAGCCCAGAGAAAUUUGGAUUAAUACCCCAUAGUAUGUUUAUGUGGCCUCACAUGUUCAUUAAAGAUUUAUUGGUAUAAGAUGGCUAUGCGUUCUAUUAGCUGGUUGGUAUGGUAACGGCAUACCAAGGCUACGAUAGAUAGGGGUUCUGAGAGGGAGCUCCCCCACACUGGUACUGAGACACGGACCAGACUCCUACGGGAGGCAGCAGUGAGGAAUAUUGGACAAUGGAGGCAACUCUGAUCCAGCCAUGCCGCGUGCAGGAAGACUGCCCUAUGGGUUGUAAACUGCUUUUAUAGAGGAAGAAUAUCCAAUACGUGUAUUGGUUUGCCGGUACUCUAAGAAUAAGGAUCGGCUAACUCCGUGCCAGCCGCCGCCGUAACAC
rnacentral:rRNA from 1 species